UUAGGUUAAGUUAUGAAGGGCGCAUGGUGAAUGCCUUGGUACUAGGAGCCGAUGAAGGACGGGACUAACACCGAUAUGCUUCGGGGAGCGGUAAGUACGCUUUGAUCCGGAGAUUUCCGAAUGGGGCAACCCAAUCAGCUUAGUCGCUGAUUACUUGACUAGUGAAUACAUAGCUAGCAAGAGGUAGACGCAGUGAACUGAAACAUCUUAGUAGCUGCAGGAAGAGAAAGAAACAUCGAUUCCCUGAGUAGCGGCGAGCGAAAAGGGAAGAGCCCAAACCAACAAGCUUGCUUGUUGGGGUUGUAGGACUGAACAUUAGAGUUACCAAAGUGCGACGUAGUCGCAACAGUUGGGAAGCUGUGCCAUAGAGGGUGAAAGCCCCGUAGACGAAACGUCACACUCUCUGUUCAGGAUCCUGAGUACGGCGGGACACGUGAAACCCCGUCGGAACCCGCGAGGACCAUCUCGCAAGGCUAAAUACUCCCUAGUGACCGAUAGUGAACCAGUACCGUGAGGGAAAGGUGAAAAGCACCCCGGAAGGGGAGUGAAAUAGUUCCUGAAACCAUGUGCCUACAAGCUGUCGGAGCCCGUUAAUGGGUGACGGCGUGCCUCUUGCAGAAUGAACCGGCGAGUUACGAUUGCAUGCAAGGUUAAGGUGGAAAAACCGGAGCCGUAGCGAAAGCGAGUCUUAAAUGGGCGUAAGAAGUAUGUAGUUGUAGACCCGAAACCAGGUGACCUACCCAUGUCCAGGUUGAAGGUGCGGUAAAGCGCACUGGAGGACCGAACCCGUGUCAGUUGAAAAUGGCUGGGAUGAGGUGUGGGUAGCGGUGAAAUUCCAAACGAACUUGGAGAUAGCUGGUUCUCUCCGAAAUCUCUUUAGGGGGAGCCUUGAGGUAAAGAAUCGUGGAGGUAGAGCUACUGUUUGGACAAGGGGCCCGUCAUGGGUUACCAACUUCAGAUAAACUCCGAAUGCCAUCGAUUUAUACUCAGGAGUCAGACGAUGAGUGAUAAGAUCCACCGUCGAAAGGGGAACAGCCCAGAUCACCAGUUAAGGUCCCUAAAUAUAUGCUAAGUGGAAAAGGAUGUGGAGUUGCAUAGACAACUAGGAUGUUGGCUUAGAAGCAGCCACCAUUUAAAGAGUGCGUAAUAGCUCACUAGUCGAGUGAUCCUGCGCCGAAAAUGUACCGGGGCUAAGCAUAUUACCGAAACUGUGGAUGUGCACUAUGUGCACGUGAUAGGAGAGCGUUCUAAGGGCGGCGAAGUCAGACCGUGAGGACUGGUGGAGCGCUUAGAAGUGAGAAUGCCGGUAUGAGUAGCGAAAGACAGGUGAGAAUCCUGUCCACCGAAUGACUAAGGUUUCCUGGGGAAGGCUCGUCCUCCCAGGGUAAGUCGGGACCUAAGCCGAGGCCGAGAGGCGUAGGCGAUGGAUAACAGGUUGAGAUUCCUGUACCAGUUAACUGCGUUUGACGAUGGAGGGACGCAGGAGGCUAAGCAAACCGUACGACUGGAAGAGUACGGCCAAGCAGUAAGUCAGGAUGUGAGUCAAAUGUUUACAUCCGCGUUGACAAGCUGUGAUGGGGAGCGAAAUUAAAGUAGCGAAGUUGCCGAUGUCACACUGCCGAGAAAAGCUUCUAAGGAGUAGUUAACUGCCCGUACCGCAAACCGACACAGGUAGUCGAGGAGAGAAUCCUAAGGUGAGCGA
rnacentral:rRNA from 2 species